ACGAAGGGCAUGGCGGGGAUGUGUGUUUCAUUUGACAGAGUUGAAACAGUCGUUCGCUGCUGUAGGUGGUCAAAUAUUUAUGCUACUUGGGAACAUCUAGUGGCUCCGACAUUGAAUCCUUGCAGUAGUACGUGAACCUCAUUCCCAGCAUGUGCAUCAACUAGUGAUGAGAACACAUGCUGUGCCUGCCACAAAGGAGGAUAAAAGGGAGAACAUUGUAGAACAUUGCCUUGACACCGGUCAUCUUAUGGAAUACAACAACACGGAGAUUCUGGCUUGCACGUCCAGCUAUUGGGAUAGUGUUAUUAAGAAAGCUGUUGAAAUCAGACUAUCAAGCAACCUUAUUAACAGAGAUGGUGGAUUUUGUUUAAAUGCUGCUUGGAAUCCGGCUCUCUCUCACAUCAAAAAACAAAGGGACAGAAUUAGUGCUACCUCACCUGUUGAUUAAUAGUAACUAUCAAUAUUUCUGAUAUUGGUUAUCUUUGGCUGUGUUGACACUUGUUCUGUGUGUGGUGUCUUCCUUGUUUCUC